UGUCACCUGCCUUGUAACACCAGGGCAUAGCAGAAACCUCAACUUGAGAAACAGAAUCCGUAACAGUCUUGGUGGCUCAUUAAUGUUUUUUAAUGAUUAAAGCAAUUUGUUAAAGCAGCAGAAUGUAUAGAUUUUGGACUCUGGUGAAGGAGAGAAAACACAUGAGUAAUACAGAUUGAGGAAUUAUUCCCAUCUGCCCUCUAUGAAGCCUACCAAUCCAUGAGUCUCUAGGCACACUUACUGUUUUUGCUUCUUGAAAUAUUUACCAAGAGGCUCUGGCGGUAGAUCAGCUUUCAAGCUCAUCAGACUGUUGGUCAAGUUCAGUUCCUUGUGGUCAUGCAACUGAGGUUCCGUUUCAUUGUUGGCUGUCAGCUGGGAGCUCCCUCCGCUCCUUGAGGCUGGCUGUACUUCAAGUUUCAUGGCACCCUGUCCCCCCAAAUCAACAAAGUUUCUGUGCUGUCCUUCCUGCUUUGCAUUAUCCCACUGAUUUCAC